GAUGAAGAACGUAGCGAAAUGCGAUACGUAAUGUGAAUUACAAAUUCAGUGAAUCAUCGAGUCUUUGAACGCACAUUGCGCCCCCUGGUAUUCCGGGGGGCAUGCCUGUCCGAGCGUCAUUGCUGCCCUCAAGCACGGCUUGUGUGUUGGGCCCCGUCCUCCGAUCCCGGGGGACGGGCCCGAAAGGCAGCGGCGGCACCGCGUCCGGUCCUCGAGCGUAUGGGGCUUUGUCACCCGCUCUGUAGGCCCGGCCGGCGCUUGCCGAUCAACCCAAAUUUUUAUCCAGGUUGACCUCGGAUCAGAUAGGGAUACCCGCUGAACUUAAGCAUAUAAUAAGCGGAGGA
rnacentral:misc_RNA from 1 species